GAUGAACGCUGGCGGCGUGCCUAAUACAUGCAAGUCGAGCGAACGGACGAGAAGCUUGCUUCUCUGAUGUUAGCGGCGGACGGGUGAGUAACACGUGGAUAACCUACCUAUAAGACUGGGAUAACUUCGGGAAACCGGAGCUAAUACCGGAUAAUAUUUUGAACCGCAUGGUUCAAAAGUGAAAGACGGUCUUGCUGUCACUUAUAGAUGGAUCCGCGCUGCAUUAGCUAGUUGGUAAGGUAACGGCUUACCAAGGCAACGAUGCAUAGCCGACCUGAGAGGGUGAUCGGCCACACUGGAACUGAGACACGGUCCAGACUCCUACGGGAGGCAGCAGUAGGGAAUCUUCCGCAAUGGGCGAAAGCCUGACGGAGCAACGCCGCGUGAGUGAUGAAGGUCUUCGGAUCGUAAAACUCUGUUAUUAGGGAAGAACAUAUGUGUAAGUAACUGUGCACAUCUUGACGGUACCUAAUCAGAAAGCCACGGCUAGCUACGUGCCAGCAGCCGCGGUAAUACGUAGGUGGCAAGCGUUAUCCGGAAUUAUUGGGCGUAAAGCGCGCGUAGGCGGUUUUUUAAGUCUGAUGUGAAAGCCCACGGCUCAACCGUGGAGGGUCAUUGGAAACUGGAAAACUUGAGUGCAGAAGAGGAAAGUGGAAUUCCAUGUGUAGCGGUGAAAUGCGCAGAGAUAUGGAGGAACACCAGUGGCGAAGGCGACUUUCUGGUCUGUAACUGACGCUGAUGUGCGAAAGCGUGGGGAUCAAACAGGAUUAGAUACCCUGGUAGUCCACGCCGUAAACGAUGAGUGCUAAGUGUUAGGGGGUUUCCGCCCCUUAGUGCUGCAGCUAACGCAUUAAGCACUCCGCCUGGGGAGUACGACCGCAAGGUUGAAACUCAAAGGAAUUGACGGGGACCCGCACAAGCGGUGGAGCAUGUGGUUUAAUUCGAAGCAACGCGAAGAACCUUACCAAAUCCUGACAUCCUUUGACAACUCUAGAGAUAGAGCCUUCCCCUUCGGGGGACAAAGUGACAGGUGGUGCAUGGUUGUCGUCAGCUCGUGUCGUGAGAUGUUGGGUUAAGUCCCGCAACGAGCGCAACCCUUAAGCUUAGUUGCCAUCAUUAAGUUGGGCACUCUAAGUUGACUGCCGGUGACAAACCGGAGGAAGGUGGGGAUGACGUCAAAUCAUCAUGCCCCUUAUGGUUUGGGCUACACACGUGCUACAAUGGACAAUACAAAGGGCAGCGAAACCGCGAGGUCAAGCAAAUCCCAUAAAGUUGUUCUCAGUUCGGAUUGUAGUCUGCAACUCGACUACAUGAAGCUGGAAUCGCUAGUAAUCGUAGAUCAGCAUGCUACGGUGAAUACGUUCCCGGGUCU
rnacentral:rRNA from 1 species